UGCUCAUUUCAGCAGCACAUUACUAAAAUUGGAACGAUACAGAGAUUAGCAUGGCCCCUGUGCAAGGAUGACACGCAAAUUUGUGAAGUGUUCCAUAUUUAA